AGUGGGAUAGCUGGGUCAAAUGGUGAAUCCAUUCCCAGUUCUCUAAAGAAUAACCAUGCUACUUUCCACAUUGGCUGCACCAAUUUUCAGUCCCACCAGCAAU
rnacentral:pre_miRNA from 1 species